GCUGCUGUGAGCACAGAUGCUUCUGGGAAGGAUACCCAUCAAUGUGAGCCCAACAUCUGGGAUUCUCACAGCCCACAGGCUCCUUACGAUUACUGCUGUAGCAGAAAUGCUAAGUCACAGCCUGAAACAGUGAUUGAUUGAGCACCUGGUGGAAGGCAGGGCCAGCCCAGGGGAGCUCAGGUGCGUGCAAUGUACGUGAGUGAAUGGAAUGGGUGAAGCCAGGAUCCACCCCUUCCCAGCCCUCAUUUAAGGGCUGACAGGGAGGGCAAGGGCAUUUCUUGUUGGGGGUCCCUGCAUACUUGAGAUCUGCUGAAGGAAGAAGCUGCACUGCUCCUGCUCAGACACGACAUUAUCAUUUCUGCUGGAAAAGCCAAUACUCUGCACCCUGCUGUGAACCCCUCUUGUAAAUUCACAGCACAGACAGGUCAGUCAGUAACAGGAAUCAGAGAGGAUGGGGAGCUGGAACCUGCUCUGUGUUAUGGUGAUGCUUAUCUUGGGCAACCCAUGGAUUUCAAUGGAACUGCUGCAGAUUUAUGCCAGCUAAUUGGAAGCAGAGUUUGACCCAGGCUCUGGAAAGGCAUCUACUGAAUUCUGGGUCCAACACAGAAGGGAAAAAGCCCUCCAUAUGCACACCUUUGCUGAAGACCUGCAAGAGGUAAUUUGCAAAACUGCUUUGCUGCACCACUCUGUGAUGCCCUACUUGCGAUGCGAGGCUGAGCCAGCACCUUUUCACUGGGAGUACGGAUGCUGAUUUGCUUUACCUCUAUGAAUGCAGCGGAACAAAUCUCCCUGCCUCUCUCCACCUCUAACUGGAGCCACAUUACAGACCACAAAGACUGGAUGUGCAAACCAGCAGUUACCACAAGUCGUAUUCUGCAGUGGGAGCCUUGUGGCAGCAAGGUGCAAUGGGCACUAACUCUCACUGAGGCAUGAGCCCCAUCUGGGCCCCCCCACCGUGGGUACUCACCCUUGGCUUUGCCUCGAUGUUCUCACGCAGGAGCCACUCCUCAUUGAGGGUGUAUCUGGCCUUCCCUGUGAUGGCAUCAAUGGAGCCUUUGUUAAUCUGCUGCUUGAUGGCACAGAUCAGCAGGAAGAAUGGUUCUCCGACUGUCUCCUGGGGAAAGGGAGAGAAGUCCAUGUCAGCAACGGACCUGGUGGUGCAUCCAGGGCAGGCUCUGCACAGAAACCCAGGUUUAGAGAGACUCGGGGGUGCCAGGUUCCUAUUAAAGGUGCUGGCUGCAGUCCUCUUUGUGCUGCCUGGUUUGCCAUUGAGUUCUGUGAGAGUGAGGCCACGGUGUAGCCUGUGGCUCUGGGAAGCAGCACUCAUACUUGUCAUACCACAGCAGGGCCCUGAUUGCAGCAAAAGAUCAGAGUCAACCAUGUUGUUCCCACGCGACAACGAGCAAACAUGGCAGCUAACUCGUUACAUUUGUCAAACUUCAUCUUAUGGGAGAGCCGUGACUUGUGACAGCGCUGCCACAAAACAAGGAGCCGAACGGGGACCAGCGAUUUGUGACGCGGUUCAGCGGCGAGGAGUAAUGCCAGACUUCUGAUCUGCUUAUGUCUGUUACGCCGAUGUGCAAAUAAAAUACAAGUUAUUUGCUUAAAAAACACUUCAGUACUGGAGUGAAUCCCAUUCUCCCUAAUGUUCAUGUGCAAUUUCUUUCAGAUGAGGCAAAUGCAAAUUACUGCGCAUUCCUGUACUUCCCGACCAUCACACCCCUGUGCAGCCAUCGCUGCCAUCUGAAAUCCUGCUCAAGACAACAGAUAUCGGAUGGUUUUGGUAUUUCUCAGCUAGGAGCUGCUAAAUCCUGUUCAAUCUGCUUCUUAAUUAAGGCUCGGUGAUUCUUUUAUUCUAAUUGCCUUAUAAUUGCUGAAGCAAUUAGCUUGAUGUCAAUUUUGAUUCGGCUGCCUUCAGCGUUGGGGCUGCAGCAGGGCUGUGGGUGGGCAUGCACCAUCUGUGCCAUGGUGCACAUGCUUUAUUUUCCCAGGGCAGGGCUGGUAUGAGCGUGGGGCAGGUCCAUGAGCCUCCUGCCGGGAUGGAAGGAUUUCCUGCAACGCUCCCUCUGAGUGCACAGCAGUGCAUGGGCUCUGCAGUGCUGGACAAAAGGCAAUGAAACCUGUGAAGCUGUGGGAUGAAGGAGCUGAGGAGCAUGAGCAAAAUGCAGAAGACCCGGGAGCUGUGGGACGCAAUGGAGAUCUGCAAAAGCGCUAAUCAGACUGCAAGUUUCAAAGAGGGGAAAGAAGGGCUGGCAGGCAGCGGCUGCAGAUAAAACGGCAGGCCUGGAAACCUCAAGCACUGUUCAGAAAAUGCAUCUGGAAACGAACCAGCAGUGUCUCCAGAGCUACGUGGGGGGAAGUAAGUCCAACCAGAAGAGAUCAGUGCUGAUUCAGGACAAAAAUUAUUAAAAAAAAAAAAAAAACACAUGCUGGAGCUUUUUUUUUUUUUUACUCCUAUUGUGAGUGUAUCUUAAUGAGAUUUCAUUUUCAUUUUUGACUGAACCAUCACAGGCUCUUAAAGCUAUCCGGGGGAACUGCAAUAAGCUCUCAGUAAUGGAGCGCACAGCUCUGGCUGGCACUGCUUGGGCUGCUUCAUGUGUGGAGAGUGUGGGAGAUGAAGGUUUUAUGCUCUGGGGAAAAAGGUUCAGAGCGCAGACUGUCUCUGGUGUUGCUGCUCCAUUAACAAGGCCAACAAGUCAUCAGAGAUGUCCUCUGGGAACACUCUACAGUCACUUCAGAUGAGUCCUGGUGAGGCUGGAGUGAGGAAAACACAGAAAGCAGCUGCUUCUACCAGGUGCCAGCUAAUUUGGCUAUGAUUAUCUAUUUGUGUAAUGUGACAAAUACAAUCCCAGCUCCAUCCCCCAUGCAGAACUUUGGGAAGCUUGGACACAGGUCAGUGCUGCAUCCCAGAGCCUUGGCCUUUCACUCAGCCUUCAGUCCCCCAUCCCACCAGGCACGGGGCAGAACGGCACUGAGGUAUUGCACAAGGGAGACAGUUCUCAGCAUUUUCCAUUGGAGUGGUAGUGGAAAGUGCAGAUAGAGACCAUUUUAUGGCUGAUUCUCACACAGUUUUGCAGAAACCAAGAUCUGCAUCACUUGUGCAAAUGCUGCAAGUUUUACAGCCCUCUCUGAUUCCAACCCCAAGAAGCAAGUCUCCUGCUGCCUGCUCUGACAGCUCCUGCAUGCUGUCACCUUUCAGAGGGGCAAACCCUCUGCUUUCAGGUGCCCUCCACAUGUGCAGCUGUGGGUGGCUGUGGCCUGCCUCUUCUU